rfam:Schistosoma curassoni strain Dakar, Senegal genome assembly, scaffold: SCTD_scaffold0004167
AUCCAGCUGAAGAGUCUCAAACAGGGCGAAACGUGCAUCCUGGAU